GCGCCCAUGGCUCAGCUGGAUAGAGCGUCGGACUACGAAUCCGGAUGUCGCAGGUUCGAAUCCUGCUGGGCGCGCCA
rnacentral:tRNA from 5 species